rnacentral:rRNA from 1 species
UACGGGGGGGGCAAGCGUUGUUCGGAAUUACUGGGCGUAAAGGGCUCGUAGGUGGCCAACUAAGUCAGGCGUGAAAUCCCCAGGCUCAACUUGGGGACUGCGUCUGAUACUGGAUGGCUUGAAUUCGGGAGAGGGAUGCAGAAUUCCAGGUGUAGCGGUGAAAUGCGUAGAUAUCUGGAGGAAUACCGGUGGCGAAGGCGGCAUCCUGGACCAAUACUGACGCUGAGGAGCGAAAGCCAGGGGAGCAAACGGG